rfam:Thermomonospora curvata DSM 43183, complete genome.
AACGGUCCGGCCCUGCCCCCCCUGGGGCCGGACCGGAUGGCGACCCCCGCUCUCCCCCCCGGCGGGGGUCGCCGCAC